rnacentral:lncRNA from 1 species
ACGAUUUGAGAAGACCAAAUCCAGUUUCGACAUUGAAGAAAUCGUGUCACGAUGGCCAAAUCGUGACACGAUUGGAGGAAACCCUAAUUCAGUAAUUUACGAUUCAAAGAGAAUCGUGCCACGAUUUACUUAAAUCGUGACACGAUUUUAGGCGAAAUUCUGUGCCUAUUUAAACUGAAGACUAUUCUGAAAACAAGGGUUACGAUU